rnacentral:snRNA from 1 species
UCCCUGUCUACUAUCCAGCG